CUCGUAGGCGGUUCGGUAAGUCGGGUGUGAAAACUCUGGGCUCAACUCGGAGAGGCCACCCGAUACUGCCGUGACUCGAGUCCGGUAGGGGAGCACGGAAUUCCUGGUGUAGCGGUGAAAUGCGCAGAUAUCAGGAGGAACACCGGUGGCGAAGGCGGUGCUCUGGGCCGGUACUGACGCUGAGGAGCGAAAGCGUGGGUAGACAAAACGAGG
rnacentral:rRNA from 1 species